rnacentral:lncRNA from 1 species
GCCUCAUCUCAAAAAAAUCUCCAAUGCUGCGGUGAUGGAGUUAGUACACAUAAAAGAAAGUACCUUUCAAAGGAAUCAAGCCACACACCACGUACUGUGAUGUUUUGCCUCCUAUCUACCCUUGUCCAGAUCUUGCCACUUACGCUCAUCAUAAGUCGAGCAAGCUGCCAGUUUUCGAGACCAAUACGCCAGGUUGGGAACCUCGUGUGGCAUCCAUGGGAUUGCUGCAAAAAAAAGGAAAGGAAAGCAUCAUUACAGAGUCCGCCUUCACCAUGGGCAAAAAUAAUAAGAACACAAGUGUACCACUUACGCGUGAAAUUCCAUUUCUCAUGAAAUGGAAGGAACUCUGCGGGGAUAAUAUCGACAGUCCGCACUCGGAUGAAACGACUCAUCCACUCUCAAUCCCUAUCUUCUUCAUUGCUAACAACAAAAGGGCCGAGUAGAUUGACGUCGCAGAGUAAUCAGGCCUCGAUGAUGCAAGGGCCGGUACAAUCUAAGAAGAUGACUGAGGGUGAACUCGACCUUGGCUUUAUCUGCAAAAUACCUUACCAUCAACACUAUCCUCCAAAAUGGUGGGUGAACCUGUGCCAGGGUAACCCGACAUCUCCUACAAAAUUCGAGCAUGAAUCUGUCGAGGGGGCCCAACGUAAAGCGGUACAUAUAUAUGUUCAAAAAACUCUCGACAUGAGCUAUGUUACUCUCUUCCGGGGAAGGUACCUACAGUACCUCUUUUUCUCCUCAUCCGUAGUCUUUUCUAACUGUCUCGAGGUGCUCCUCCCCUAUGAAAGAAAUAAACCUCAAUGCAUGCUCCCGAUGGCCCUGAACAUUGGGAGGUCUCUCCAACGCAAAGUCCCUCCUCAUGACAAAGCACCUCAACGUUAGCUCACCAGGUACAGGUGGUGUACCACCGACCGAGCGCGAAGCAGAGGCAGAACUCUCCUCUCCUUGGUGAAUGGGUGUGGACGUAGCAGCCAUGGCUAUGAUAAAAUAAGAAAAAGGAAGGUAAAGGCUUGGACGAAAGCUCUUAAAAUGGUAAGAGAACUGGCACAAAAAGAGCUCUAUAAGAGGGAUAGUUACUCAAAGUAGCGGAGUCUUCAAACAAGAAUUAAGCAAAUGAAUAUAUAGAGCAAGCAAGAAUUGUUAAACUAUCCUGAAGGCUAAUUGAUUCUGACCAUGUCAGUGCCAUUUUGGGGAAGUGCACCGAUGGGACCACCCUGGUCACUUCACAAUCGUGUCGCAUAAAUAAUAUUAUCACACAAUGCUCGGGAGCCGUCGAGACCCCAAGAAUUUAUGUUAUUAUAAUCAUUUAUUCUGAAAAGUUAUCGACCUAAUCUCGAGAUGGUGCCUGAUCUCGAGGGUUUCGAUUAUUCUAAGUACGGGCUCUGAAGAGCCAACAUCAAAUUUCAAAGACCAACUCCUCAUGAAUGCUGAAAUAUAAAUAAUUUAAAGUCGAGCCCUAAAGAGGGAUUGUCCCCGAGCCCUCUUCGAGAGUCUCCUCUAUGCGGGUCUGUUCCAUAUCGACCACCCCUGAUUCGGCAGCAUUCCGCCCGGUAACUUGUGGAGCAUAUUCGCCUCGUCUCAUCCUUUGUACCAAAGGGCCUCCAUAAUCAUCAUCACCUUUAUCCUUGGCACGGGGACUUGCCACAACAGCCAAAGCCGAGACCGUGGCGUCGGUCUUAAUUGAAGACUCGGCUGAAGUUUCUUUCUCCCUUUUUUUACCCAUACCGGGAUUAGAGGUUCCCUCUUUACCAGUAGGAGCCGAACUCAUCGACACUCCAUAUCUGAGGCCUGCACAAGCAUAAUGCAUCUAAGUACAAAGGAUACUCAUAAGGGAGCCUAGUAAAGAUAGCAAUAAAGAGCAUACCGUGGUUCUUGGCCUGCCACUGUAUUUUGGCCAAGUCGUGCCAAGAACGAUCAAAAUAAGGUAAAGCAGAAUCCAAUUAAAUGAUCCAUCCCAAUAGAUUCUGAACCACAUCAGGGUACCAAAUGGUGGUUUUAUAAUCAAAAGAAGACCAUUUUUUCAGAAGAGGAUGAAAAGGCAAUAAAAUAUGUUCGGGGUAAGGGCACUUGCGGUUCGUAUUCCACUCCUCCAGGAAUGGCAUCCUAUUAGCCGGGAUAGUGUUCGAGGUCCACACUCAGACAAAUCGACUCAUCCACCCCCGAUCCUUGUCCUCAUCAAUGCUCGAAAAGAACGGCCUCGUGGACUGUAGAUGAAGCUUGAUCAAACCCCGAUAUAAUCGAGGGUUGUAUAAUCUGAUCAAGUGAUUGAGGGUGAAGUUCAUACCCCCAACCUUGUUGGAAAAGUACCAGAGCAUAUGAACUAUCCUCCAGAAAGAAGGAUAGAUCUGACCAAGCGUCACUCGAUACUCAUGGCAAAAAUCGAGAAUCACCAGAUCUAUCAACGGGGAAGAAGGAUCUGAAGAAUCUGUGGGGGCUAAAGUGAAUGGGUAUGUAUACACGCUGAGAAAGUCAGAUUUAUGUUCUACUAUGUUCUCCCCGAAAUUGGGGAUUUCUACUAAUGCUGCCCUCCUCCAUUUUCAGUCUUCCUUCACUCUGCUCGUAUCGGUCACCAUGCUGAUGUAUUGAGACACAGGCUCACAUCGUCUGGUGUGGCAGGGGGAUUUUCGAUGGAAAAAUUGUAUACGAUGUCGAAUUUUGUAGGAGUACAUUGCUCGACAGUUAGGGGUACUUUUGGUUUACCCCUGGAUGAGUGAGACGAAGAAGUAGUGCCCUCCUUUUGAGGUAUCGUUCUAUAGGCCCUAGCCAUAGCUAUAAAAAGGGUUUAUAGGAAGGAAAGUGAAGAAGCAAUGGCAGAAGGGAGAAGAAUGUAUAAUACGAAGGACUAAACUCUAGAAAAUUGAAGAUGUUGUAAAAGUGUGAAUAACAAAAUGGUUGAGGUAUUUAUAGAAGCCGGACCAAUAGCGUUUCGUCAGAUUCUCAAUAGUCGUAUUGAUAGCGACCCCUACGCAGCCUUUGAGUCAUGUCAUUUAAUGUUCUCAUAGGCUGACGUCAUGAUGGUAGUAUCGAAGAAGCAAGAAUUCAAGACCGUUUCUUAUCAUUUUCAUUCUAAGAAAUGCGGGGACUAUAUGUAUGCGGUAAAAAUAUGGUCUGAUUUUAUAUUCAUUAUGACGCUUUGUAGGCACAUCUCUAAGGGCUCGAUGCCAGGUUCGAGGUUCAACACCAAAGGGUUCUCAACUUUCGGCCUCAAAGUAGUGCGAACCGGUAGUUAUGAUGGAAAAAUGAGAGAUUCCCAAGGCACGUGACUAAAGCUGACCAAGUCUAUUAGGCUAGUUCAAGCCCGUACCGAGGCAUUAAAUGGUUGUACCAGCCAUAUAUCUUUGUAAUAAAUAUAUUUGUACUAUGUUGGGAUUCCCCCUAGUAUAUAAAGGGGACCCUAGUUAUUUUGUAAAAUAUAUAAUAUCACUUGCAACAUUCAAUACAAGAACAUUCCAUGCUCUCUAACACAUUCUCUCUUGAUUCUAUGAUUUACAUUUAUUGCUUGCAUUUAUUGUGUUCUAUUUAUUGUUCUUCAUUUAUUGCUCGUUAUUGAACAUAAAGAGCCUUCAUCAAAGCUCUCAAUGUUGUUAGCCCUUCAUUGGUUGUCCACAACUCAGUAUCGAGCUCGACCUCGGGGCCCCGUAUAAUCAGGUUCGAGGCCCCGAUUCUCAGCCGCUCGGUUUGCUUAAACACACUAUUUUCAAGUUCAUACCUUAUCUCCUAGUCUCAUAAUUAGCACCUAUUGCCUAAAACUAGCAUAAAAAUAGAUCACAUAUUUUUAGAACCACAAAAUCCAAUCUAAUUGUAAUUACCAUUUUCAAGGUAAACAUUUAUAUAUGCCCUGUGAGUCUCUUGUUUCAUUUGUUCGUGUAUCUACUCUGGUGGGCGAUACUAUUGUUGUGGACCGCAUAUAUCGGUCGUGUGUGGUGACUAUUGGAGGUUUGGAGACCCGAGUGGACCUUCUAUUGCUUUGUAUGGUUGACUUUGAUAUGAUAUUAGGUAUGGAUUGGCUAUCUCCGUGUCAUGCUAUUUUCGAUUGUCAUGCAAAGAUAGUGACGUUGGCUAUGCCGGAUGUGCCACAGAUUGAGUGGCGAGGUUCGACUGAUUUUGUUCCCAAGGGUGAUUUCAUUUAUGAAGGCCCAUCAGAUGGUUGGGAAAUGUUGUCUUUCAUACUUAGCGUUUGUGAGGGAUGUUAGUGCAGAGACUCCUACCAUUGAUUCGGUCCCGGUAGUGAGGGACUUUCUGGAUGUGUUUCCUGCAAACCUGUUGGGCAUGCCACCAAAUAGGGAUAUUUAUUUUGGUAUUGGUAUGGUGCAGGGCACUUAGCCCAUUUCUAUUCCACUAUGUCGUAUGGCACCAGCGGAGUUGAAGGAGCAGCUUCAGGAACUCCUUGAUAAGGAGUUUAUUCAGCAUAGUGUAUCGCCUUGGGGUGCGCCUAUUCUAUUUGUGAAGAAGAAGGAUGGCACUAUGAGGAUGUGCAAUGAUUACAGGUAGUUGAACAAAGUUACAAUUAAGAACAAGUACCCUUUGCAUAGUAUUGAUGAUUUAUUUGACUAGCUUCAGGGAGCGAGGGUGUUCUCCAAGAUUGAUCUCCAUUCAGGGAAUCACCAGUUAAAGAUCAGGGACUCGGAUAUCCUUACGACAACUUUCAGGACCCGAUAUGGUCAUUAUGAGUUCCUUGCCAUGUUUUUUGGGUUGACCAAUGCCCCAUUAGCAUUCAUGCAUUUGAUGAAUAGUGUGUUUCGGCCUUAUCUCGGCUCGUUUGUGAUUGUUUUUAUUGAUGAUAUUCUAGUGUACUCGUGUAGCUAGGAGGAGCACACUGAGCAUUUGAGAGUUGUGUUGCAGCGGUUGAGGGAGGAGAAGCUUUAUGUAAAGUUCUCCAAAUGUGAGUUUUGGCUAAGUUCAAUGGCUUUCUUAGGGUACGUGGUGUUCAGUGAGGGUAUUAAGGUUGAUCCGAAAAAGAUAGAGGCGGUUCAGAGUUGGCCCAGACCGUCCUCAGCAGCAGAGAUUCACAGCUUUCUUGGAUUGGUGGGUUAUUACCGUCGGUUCGUUAGCAUCUCCCUUGACCAAAUUGACUCAAAAGGGUGCUCCAUUCAGGUGGUCGGAUGAGUGUGAGGCGAGCUUUCAGAAGCUCAAGACUAUUUUGACCACAACUCCAGUGUUAGUUUUGCCAUUAGCUUCAGGUUAAUAUAAAGUGUAUUGUGAUGCUUCGAGAGUUAGUAUUGGGUGUGUGUUGAUGUAGGAGGGUAGAGUGAUUGCUUAUGCUUCUCGUCAUUUGAAGAUCGAUUAGAAGAACUACCAUGUUCAUAAUCUAGAGUUGGCUACCAUUGUUCACGUGUUGAAGAUUUGGAAGCAUUAUUUAUAUAGUGUGUCUUGUGAGGUGUUUACUGAUCAUCGUAGCCUCCAGCACUUGUUUAAUUUUAAGGAUCUCAAUUUUAGGUAGCGGAGAUGGUUGGAGUUGCUAAAGGACAAUGAUAUCACUAUCUUGUACCAUCCGGGAAAGACCAAUGUAGUGGUUGAUGCCUUGAGUAGGAAGGCAGUGAGUAUGGGCAUUUUGGCGUAUAUUCCUAUUAGGGAGAGACCUCUUGCAGUUGAUGUUCAAGCCUUGGCCAAUCAGUUUGUGAGGUUGGAUAUUUUGGAGCCCGGUCGGGUCUUAGCUCGUGUGGUUUCUCGGUCUUCCUUAUUUUAUCGCAUUAGAGAGCGCUAGUAUGAUGAUCCUCAUUUGCUUGUCCUUAAGGACAGAGUUCAGCACAACGAUGCCAGAGAUGUGACUAUUGGUGAUAAUGGGGUAUUGAGGAUGCAGGGCCGGAUAUGUGUACUAAUGUAGACGGGCUUUGGGAGUUGAUUCUGGAGGAGGCCCAACUCGCAGUAUUUCAUUCAUCUGGGUGUCACGAAGAUGUAUUAGGAUCUGAGACAACAUUAUUGGUGAAGGAGAAUGAAGAAAGAUAUUGAGGGAUUCGUAGCUCGGUGUCUCAAUUGUCGGUAGGUGAAAUAUGAGCAUCAGAGACCGGGUGGCUUGCUUCAUUAGAUGGAUAUUCCAGAGUGGAAGUGGGAGCGGAUCACCAUGGAUUUUAUAGUUGGACUCCUAUGGACUUUGAAGAAGUUCGAUGAUAUUUGGGUGAUUGUGUACCGGCUAACAAAGUUCGCGCACUUCAUUCCUGUGUGUACUACCUAUUCUUUAGAGUGGUUGGCAGAGAUCUAUAUUCGAGAGAUUGUUCCCUUACACGGUGUCCCAGUUUCCAUCAUUUCAGAUAGAGGUGCUCAGUUUACUUUGUAAUUUUGGAGGGUCGUGCAGAGAGAGUUAGGUACUCAGGUUGAGUUGAGCACAACUUUUCACCCUCAGAUGGACGGGCAGUCCGAGCGCACUAUUCAGAUAUUGGAUGACAUGUUGCGCAUUUGUAUCAUUGAUUUUGGUAGUUUAUGGGAUCAUUUUCUACCGCUCCUGGAUUUUGCUUAUAAUAACAAUUAUCAGUCGAGUAUUCAGAUGGCUCUAUAUGAGGCUUUAUAUGGGAGACGGUGUAGAUCUCUAGUUGGUUGGUUUGAGUCGGGUAAGGCUAGGCUUUUGGGUACAGACUUGGUGCAGGAUGCUUUGGACAGGGUGAAGGUGAUUUAGGAGCAGUUUCAUACAGCGCAGUCAAGACAAAAGAGUUAUGCUGACAAGAAGGUCCAUGAUGUGUCUUACAUGGUUAGGGAGAAGGUUCUACUGAAGGUUUCACCCAUGAAGAGUGUUAUGAGAUUUGGGAAGAAGAGUAAAUUGAGUCCUCGGUUCAUUGGUCCUUUCAAGGUGCUUCAGAGGAUUGGGGAGGUGGCUUAUGAGCUGACUUUGCCACCUAGCUUGUCGAGUGUGCAUCCAGUAGUUCAUGUUUCUAUGCUCCGGAAGUAUAUUGCCGAUCCGUCUCAUGUUUUGGAUUUCAGUCGGUUCAAUUAGAUGGUGAUUUGACUUAUUGUCACACAUCCUUUUUACCACCCGAAGGGGGAUAUAAUGGAGUUUUUCCAAUUAAAGUGACAUUAAUCGAAAUGAGAUUAUUUUAUUUAUUUUUUAGAGUCACCACUUGGAAUAGUUUAUUUGGUGUCCCAAGUCACCAGUUUAUUUUAAAAUCCCAAAUCGAUGAAAUUUCGACUUUAUUUUUGGUCCGCGAACAUAGAAUAUCGGGUAAGGAAUUUUGUUAACCCGGGAGAAGGUGUUAGGCACUCCCGAGUUCUGUGAUUUUAACACGGUCGCUAAACUAUUAAUAAUUGGCAUAAUUACCUGAUUUAUUACAUAUUUUAAACCUAUUGUGCAUUUUCAACUUUAUAACCACUUUUAUUUAUUAAUGGAAUUAUUUCUAGAACAAGUCACGAUGUCGUACACUCGUUGUUUUUGGUACACAUUGUAAACUGCGUCACAUGAAAUGCACUCGCGAUUUACAACAUGUUCAUUUUUAUUAUUGUUCGAAGUUGUGGUCGGAUUGCAUGAAAUGCACACACGAUUGGGAUUUACGUACCAUGACCAUUCUACGGAAUCGUACCCACUGUCACGAUAAUUUAUUAAUCAUACAAACUACGAUAUUUAAUAUUGAAGAUUGUUGUAAGGCUAUGCUUUAUGCAUAAAAUUUUAUUGGGGAGUAAAUAGGAUGAUUAACAGGAUCUAUUUUGUCCCAAAUCAAUCAGAGCCUCAACUUAGACUAAUUAAGUUUAGACACCAAGCGUACGGUCCAAGUGAGCCUUCUUUAUCAUACUAUCAUUUUCCUAUUCCAAAACUAUACAUAUCUCAGAGAAUUAUUGAGGCCAAAUGAAUAUGAUACAAUAAAAGGUCCAAAACAGCAAAUAUCUACAAGAAAAGCUAAGGAAGGAAAUUGGCACCACAAAUAAUUAAAGAAAACAUCUAAGACAUAUUUGAUAUGAAAAUAAUUGACAAUGAAAUGGACCUCUCAUGGCUUUAUGUGUAACAGAACAAACAACACACAUUUGGAGGCAUUUAAUGAGCUAAAAACAUUUGAUAUUAUUUAACAAGCCAACAAAGAGCAUGGAGUGACGAGAAAACGGACCUCUGUGAACUUAGAAAUUCUUUAAAAAAAUGAAGCUUGAUAACUGAAAUUCAGACAAAAAACUUGCCGGAGACCUCGAUGACCUCGACAAACUGAGCUCAACUUAAGAGAACAACAACAACUAAAGAAGCUGAAGCUGCUAUGUUUUAUAAUAAAAGAGAGCUGGCCGGAGAUGGUGAAACUCCAGCGUAACGCCGGCAAGGCAGUGAACUAGUGGAAAUGCAUUUACAUGGCUUUAGAACUGAUUUUAGGAGUGGGAUGGAGAAGCCACAACUGCUGCAUUUUUUUUAGAUCUGCUGCUGUGUUUUCUGCUAUGUUUGGAGAGCUUCCGGAGGUGAUUUUACUGGGUUUUAGAGCUAUUUCGUGGUUGAUUUUCAUAGCCUUUGGGGUUGAAAUUUGGGCGGUAAUGGGGUGUUUAUGGCUGAUCUUUGAAUGAAGAAGGAGGCUCUGUAUUUUUUUGUAUUCCCCCGUCUCUUUUCUCUAUCCGCUUUCCCGUUUUUCCCUCUGUUUUUGUGUCUCCUUUUUUCAUUUUUCCCUUUUUUUCUUUUUUGUGUGUUUAUGUUUUAUAUAUAUUUGUGAGUGUGUGUAUUUAUGUAUAUGGAUAAGAAUUAUUCUUGUGAGGAUCAUGCCAAAAGUGAGCUGUGACAGGGCCCAAGAAUCCUAUGUACACGUGUGUGAAUUGAUGGUGAGGCACGUGAGAGUGUAUGCUGGUGGUGAGUGUCAAUAUAAUACUCCCUCCAUUUCAAUUUAUGUGAACCUAUUUGUUUUUUGGUCCGUGUCAAAAAGAAUGACCAUUUUCCUUAUUUGGAAACAAUUUACUUUUAUGCAAUGAUUUAUAGCCACAAAAAAUAUAUGUGUCUCAUUUCACACCACAAAUUCAAAAGUCUUCUCUCUUUUCUUAAAUUCCGUGUCCAGUCAAAUGGGUUCACAUAAAUUGAAAUGGAGGGAGUAUGUGUGAAGGAAUAAUCAAAAAAGAAGUGGGGCCUCUUGAAAUUCCCUGAAAAGUGCCUAGAGUAUGAGUGAAAUAUGUGAAAAUAAUAGAAAAACCUAGUGAAAUUAAAGUGCACGGUGUGUGCAAUUUGUGAGACAGUGACGUGAGGGAAGAUAUGGAUAACAUGAUUUUGUUAUUUUGGAUAACAAAGAAUCUUUUCAUGUGCCCAUUCCCUUUAUUUUUCUUGUUGAUUUCUUUUAGAAGGUAACAAAUUAAAUACUAUAAUUAAAUUAAAGUUGCAAGAUAAAGAUAGAUAAAGAUAUUAAUUACCUAAUAUUUAUUGUCUAGAGAAUAUAUAUAUAAUUUUUCUAUCUUUUGUAACAACAAACUAAAACUAACAUCUAAAAGCAUCAAUAUUUUUUGUUGAUUUUUAAUUUUUAUAAAUAAAACCUAUAAAAGGGUGAAACAAAAGCUAAAAUAUCAAGAUUAAACUUAAAAGAUGUUGAAAUGCUAAGAAUGAUGAAAAGAAUUUAAUAUGGUCAAAAAUUAGGUGUUCACAGCUGCCCCUCUUUGCUUGGAAACAUGAAGAGUUUUCGGGCAAAGACAAAGUGAGCCAUGUGACUAAUUUUUGACCAUAUCGUUAUUCAAAAGAGGAAGAAAAAUAAAAGAGAAAAGCGCAACCGAGUCCUGGUUUUGGACAGCCUACAUAUUCCGGGUUAUUAGGGAAUCAGGUCAUGUGUAGUUCAAGGAGCUUUGGUAGAAUGAUGAGUUCGAGAGUCGAGUGAGGUUCCGCCGAGGCUCUGGUCCGUGGUCCUGUUAUUACAUCAAAAUCAAAAAUAAAAUAAAAACUAACUAAGCCUAUCAGCUACGAGUUACAAGAUUCCUAUCUAUGAGUCUUCUGAACCUUGAUCUUGAUUCUGAGUUGGCUCUUUAUGCGGAAUCUGAUAUGGAUCUUGAUGCUUGUUAGCUGCAGGUGCUAGUUCAUUCUUUUCAGCUUCUCAGAUCAGGGCGGGACAUGCAAAGCUUGUGAUUUCAAUCAUGUCUCGAGCAUUCCACAACUUUUCUCUGCUUCUGCACUUUGAGUUCAUUUCUUUUUAUUUUAUUCUGGAUUGAUACUUUUUCUUUUGGUCGUCUCGAACCCUGUGUCUCGAGGUAUAACCUGCUCAAAUACCAAAAUAAACAAACAAACAAAAAUAUUUUGCCCCAGUUUUCACCAUGAAAAUUUCGUGAGUUAUUGUAACAAAAUUCUAAACUACUUGUUUAUUGAAAGCAAUAAAAGUUGGGAUUGUGUAUCCCUGGGAGAAAGAGAUUAGGGAGUGGAGACCCUAUAUCUAAAAUGAAAUUAACUGGGGAUUGGAGGCCUUAAGUUGGAAAGAUUACCAGGUUAUACUGGUAUCAACUAAGGAGUGAGACCCUAUGUUGGGAAAAGAUUAUCAGGUUAUGCUGGCAUCAACUAGUAAGUGGGACCCUAUGCUGGAAAAGAUUACCAGGUUAUGCUGGCAUCCACUAGGGAAUAGGGAGAGGGACCCUGUGUUGGAAAAGAUUAUCGGGUUAUGCUGGCAUCAGCUAGUGUGUACCUAUGCUAAAAUGAACCAAGAAGGAUUUUUUUUUUGUUUUUUUAAAAAAAAAUAAAUUUCAUUUUUUUUUGAGAAAAUCAUUCUUUUAAACAAAUUGCCCCAAUGCUUUAUUUUCAAAGGCAUGAAUAAUGACUUUUUUUAAUCGAGACAUCCUCUGUUCUUUUUUUAUUUUCUUUAAUUUCCUAGGAGAAAAUUCAUUAGACUAGAUUUUUAUAUCAUAGGAGAAAAAUUCAUCAGACUAAGACAUAUAUCCUAGGAGAAAGUUCAUCAGACUAGGUUUUCUAAUUUAUUAUCUUAGGAGAAAGAUUCAUCAGACAAAUAUUUGAUCCUAGGAGAAAAUUCAUCAGACUAGGUUUUCUAUCUUAGGAGAAAAAUUCAUCAGACUAAGACAUCUAUCCUAGAAGAAAGUUUAUCAGACUAGGUCUUCUAUCUUAGAAGAAAAAUUCAUCAGACUAAGAUUUUGAUCCUAGGAGAAAGAUUCAUCGGACUAGGAUUUGUUUUGUUAUCUUAGGAGAAAGAUUCAUCAAACUAAGAUUUCUAUCCUAGGAGAAAGUUCAUUAGACUAGGUCUUCUAUCUUAGGAGAAAAUUUCAUCAGACUAAUAUUUUGAUCCUAGGAGAAAGUUCAUCAUACUAGGUCUUCUAUACUAGGAGAAAGAUCAAUUGGACUAAAAUUUCGAUCCUAGGAGAAAAUUCAUCAGACUAGAUCCUUUUUUGUUAUCUUAGGAGAAAGAUUCACCAUACUAGGAUUUCUAUCAUAGGAGAAAGAUUCAUCAGACUAGGUUUUAUUAUCUUAGGAGAAAGAUUCAUUAGACUAUGAUUUCGAUCCUAGGAGAAAAUUCAUCAAACUAAGUCGUUUUAUUGGGAGGAAAAUCCAUCAGACUAGGAUGUAUUACCCUAGGAGGAAAAAUGUGAAGAUCAAUGGCAAGAUUUUAUGCACACUAUCAAGACAAUAAAGGCAAAUAUUUGAAAAAAUUCCCUUUGUCAUCUCUUCUCCUCUUUUUUUUUUCUCUUUUUCUCUUUUUUCCCUCUUUUUUCCUUCUUUUGAACCACUUUCCUUGCACUACUUUGUUCCUGUUUCAAACAAAGAAAAUUUUGUCAGUUUUAAAAGUGGUGGUCGGUUUGUGGCCUUGAGUUUUGGGCAUCUUGGCUUUUGCUCAAUCAGCUCGAGUCGGUCUCAAGAGACUUCUGCUCUGCAUUAACCCUGAUUGUUUCACACCCAGUACCAUUUGUAUUUAUGGCUCAAUCAGUUUUAUCCCAACUAGAGAUCUCUUCUUAAGUGACCUUUUCUGAUAUCUUGAAUGACUUCUUGCUUUUGAGUAAUUUGUCUGUCAGAAAGAAUCACCAAUUAUCUUUUCUUGCGCCAAGUAGGUUGACAAGAGUCUUUUGGGGAAGCCUUUGAAUGAAUCCUCAAGGUAUAUUGACAGUAACAACUGAGUGUGCUAGCCAAAUUUAAUUUAUGCAACUGAAAAGCUAGUAGCAAAUUUUGAAAUUUUUUCUUGCCUCUUUUGACAAGGACAGACUCAGAGUGAAGGACACAAUGAUGAAAAGAAACAAGUAUUAAUAAGAAAUGCCCCUAUCGGGAUGGAUAGAAGGAAACUUUUUUUUUUCAAUAACUAGCCUUAAUGAUCAUGACAUGCAUUUUGGACUUAACGACCUGAUCUAUCAAACUGAUCUAACCUUUCCUUUUACCAAUCUUAUGACCUUUGAAGUCGGGCUUGUUCGUGCCAAUCUUUUGCAUCAACUUCAUGACUCAUUUUCGUCUAGUGGCCCCGAGGGAUCUUCACUAACAAGUCUUUAUCUUUUGUUCAUCUCUUCUUACCAUCGCCUUACAAUGCCCGUGAGGGUUUUCAUUGGUAAGACUCUCUCAUUUUUUUUUUCUUUCUUGUGUGAGCAACUUGACAGUAUUCUAUGUUGCAUGACAACCGUUGCUCAUUGUGUGCUUCUCUUGGCAUUCUUGAAGGCAUAUUGGGAGGUCUUUAUUUGGAAGGAUUUUGGAUAGGGUUGGAAAGAAAGGACGUCAUGAAGGCUCAAAAAGACUCAAAACAACAGGGGGUUGUAGAUUUACAACUCUUGGAAUCGACUCUUUCAAAAGCAAAAUAAAAUAUUUGCCCCAAUUUCAGAUACUGGGGAUUUUUUGGAUUUUUCUAUUUUCUUUUUUCUUUUUCUUUUUCUUCUAAAUUCUUAUUUGGUUGGAUCGAACCGUGAAAGGCUGCCUACAUAUCCUUUUUUUAAGGAAGCUGGUCGAACGUACUUCAAAUAUCUAACCUAACUAAUUUUUCUUCUUUCUUUUUUUUCUUUUUUUCUAUCUUUUUUUUGUUACUUUUUGUUUUCAAAACAAGUUUCCCCAGCUUCUAUUUUUUAGGGAAUGGACCUUUGACAAUUCUUUUCUUCUUCUUCUUCUUCUUCUUCUUCUUCUUCUUCUUCUUCUUCUUCUUUUUCUUCUUCUUCACUUAGAACUUUCUAAAAGCUGCCCCAGUUUGUACUCUUGGGGCAUGGACCUUUAUUGUUAUUACAUUUUUUUCAUUUUU